GUUGAUGCAACGAAUAGGAAGAGUAAAAUGAACGCGCUUUAUAGAGAGGAAACGGUAGCUGAAAAGUUUCUAAAGUAGCCCAUUUGAACGUAGCCUAGGAGCAGCCUUUAUGAACUAACAGUAGUAAAGUGCCGGUUAAACACCGUUAUCGAUAAUGAAGUGCUGAUAGGGAAAAGUGGGCGAACGCUUGACUGGACCUUAGCAGAAUUAAAGGUGGUACCGCGAUUAACUCCCUCGUCCUUUUG
rnacentral:ncRNA from 1 species